rnacentral:rRNA from 1 species
UACAGAGGGUGCAAGCGUUAAUCGGAAUUACUGGGCGUAAAGCGUGCGUAGACGGCUAUCUAAGUCGGGUGUGAAAGCCCCGGGCUCAACCUGGGAAUUGCAUUCGAGACUGAAUAGCUAGGGUACGGUAGAGGGAAGUGGAAUUUCCGGUGUAGCGGUGAAAUGCGUAGAUAUCGGAAGGAACAUCAGUGGCGAAAGCGGCUUCCUGGUCCAGCAUCGACGUUCAGGCACGAAAGCGUGGGGAGGCAAACAGG